GGAUUCCCUCAGUAACGGCGAGUGAAGCGGGAACAGCCCAUCGCCGAAUCUCCAGCCUGUGUGGUGGUGAGAACUGUGGCGUAAAGGACCGUGUUGCCAGGGCCGACCGGCCGAGUAAGUCCCGCGGGACAGGUUUGCUCCCAGAGUGGGUGUGAGGCCUUUAACUUCGGUCGUGCGGCUCGGCUAUGCACAGGUUCCCGAGAGUAGAGUUGCUUGGGAUCGCAGCUCAAAGCGGGUGGUAAGCUCCAUCUAAGGCUAAAUACUGGCACGAGUCCGAUAGCAAACAAGUACCGUGAGGGAAAGUUGAAAAGAACUUUGAAGAGAGAGUUCAAAAGACCGUGAAAGCGCCUACGGGCAAACGGGAGGAACCGCCUUUGCAAUCGACGGAAUCCAACUCCCCGCACCGACGCGGCAAAGCUCGUGUCGGACCAAUCCUUCUCGGAGGACGGGCCGAUGUCGAGCGUGGGUCCGUCGUCGAGGGUGUAUCUUCCGUACGAUUGCCAGUCGCGACAGUUUCGGCGCACUUCGUCUCGGUCGAGGUCUGGUUUCGGAGCUCGCUUGCGGGCUCACCGAAGGCCUGCCCCGGCCGGAUGCAAGGCGGACGUUGCGCCGGGUCUAGGAAUGGCCCCGCAAUCGCUCUCGAUUUUUUUUUCGAGUUUGGGUGCGGUCAAGGGUCUGCGACUGGCCGGGUCGGCACUCUUCCCGACCCGUCUUGAAACACGGACCAAGGAGUCUAACGUCGGCGCGAGUCUUUGGUCACUGACUCCUAAAGGCGAAGCGAAAGCAUCGUGGCCAGAUUCAUGUUGAAAAAUGACGCAUGGCCGGCCCGUCGGGGGUUGUCACUGCCCCGGCGGAGCAGGAGCGCCGGCGUUAGAACCCGAAAGAUGGUGAACUAGGCCCGAGCGGGACAAAGCCGGGAGAAAUGCUGGUGGCGGUCCUAAGUGGUUCUGACGCGCAAAUCGAUCACGAAACUUGGGCGUAGGGGCGAAAGACUAAUCGAACCAUCUAGUAGCUGGUUCCCUUCGAAGUUUCCCCCAGGAUAGCUGGCACUCGAAGAGACAGUUUCGUCCGGUAAAGCGAAUGAUUAGAGGAGUCCGUGCCGAAAUGGUGUGGAGCUAUUGUCAAACUUUGAACGGGCGCAAAGGGGUGCCUACCACUCAGAUCUGGGAGGCCGGCCCCCGUCGAAAUGUACGAGUGCCAAGUGGGCCACUUUUGGUAAGCAGAAUGG
rnacentral:rRNA from 1 species